rnacentral:rRNA from 1 species
ACGAACGCUGGCGGCGUGCUUAACACAUGCAAGUCGAACGGAAAGGCCUGCUUUCCCUUGUGGAUUGCGGGUGCUCGAGUGGCGAACGGGUGAGUAACACGUGAGUGAUCUGCCCCCAACUUGGGUAUAAGCCUGGGAAACUGGGUCUAAUUCCCGAUAGGACUGCAGGGUGGUGCCUGUGGUGGAAAACGAUUUUCUAGUGGUUGGGGAUGAGCUCGCGGCCUAUCAGCUUGUUGGUGGGGUAAUGGCCUACCAAGGCGGCGACGGGUAGCCGGCCUGAGAGGGUGGACGGCCACAUUGGGACUGAGAUACGGCCCAGACUCCUACGGGAGGCAGCAGUGGGGAAUAUUGCACAAUGGGCGGAAGCCUGAUGCAGCGACGCCGCGUGGGGGAUGACGGCCUUCGGGUUGUAAACUCCUUUCGACAGCGAGGAAGCCGCCUGGUUGGAAGGGUGGUGACGGUAGUGGUAGAAGAAGCACCGGCUAACUACGUG